rnacentral:rRNA from 2 species
GGGGAAUAUUGCACAAUGGGGGAAACCCUGAUGCAGCGACGCCGCGUGGAGGAAGAAGGUCUUCGGAUUGUAAACUCCUGUUGUUGAGGAAGAUAAUGACGGUACUCAACAAGGAAGUGACGGCUAACUACGUGCCAGCAGCCGCGGUAAAACGUAGGUCACAAGCGUUGUCCGGAAUUACUGGGUGUAAAGGGAGCGCAGGCGGGAAGACAAGUUGGAAGUGAAAUCCAUGGGCUCAACCCAUGAACUGCUUUCAAAACUGUUUUUCUUGAGUAGUGCAGAGGUAGGCGGAAUUCCCGGUGUAGCGGUGGAAUGCGUAGAUAUCGGGAGGAACACCAGUGGCGAAGGCGGCCUACUGGGCACCAACUGACGCUGAGGCUCGAAAGUGUGGGUAGCAAACAGGAUUAGAUACCCUGGUAGUCCACACUGUAAACGAUGAUUACUAGGUGUUGGAGGAUUGACCCCUUCAGUGCCGCAGUUAACACAAUAAGUAAUCCACCUGGGGAGUACGACCGCAAGGUUGAAACUCAAAGGAAUUGACGGGGGCCCGCACAAGCAGUGGAGUAUGUGGUUUAAUUCGACGCAACGCGAAGAACCUUACCAAGUCUUGACAUCCUGCGACGCACAUAGAAAUAUGUGUUUCCUUCGGGACGCAGAGACAGGUGGUGCAUGGUUGUCGUCAGCUCGUGUCGUGAGAUGUUGGGUUAAGUCCCGCAACGAGCGCAACCCUUAUGGUCAGUUACUACGCAAGAGGACUCUGGCCAGACUGCCGUUGACAAAACGGAGGAAGGUGGGGAUGACGUCAAAUCAUCAUGCCCUUUAUGACUUGGGCUACACACGUACUACAAUGGCGUUAAACAAAGAGAAGCAAGACCGCGAGGUGGAGCAAAACUCAGAAACAACGUCCCAGUUCGGACUGCAGGCUGCAACUCGCCUGCACGAAGUCGGAAUUGCUAGUAAUCGCAGAUCAGCAUGCUGCGGUGAAUACGUUCCCG